rnacentral:tRNA from 1 species
GCCCGGAUGACCCUCAGUGGUCUGGGGUGCAAGCUUCAAACCUGUAGCUGUCUAGCGACAGAGUGGUUCAAUUCGGGCG